GAUAAACGCUGGCGGCGUGCCUAACACAUGCAAGUCGAACGAUCCCGCAAGGGAGAGUGGCGGAAGGGUGAGUAACACGUGGGAAUCUACCUCCUCGCAGGGAACAACCUCUCGAAAGAGAGGCUAAUACCCAAAAGGGUCAGAAAUGAUCAGAGUCGAAAGGCGUGAGGAGAGGAGCCCGCGGCCCAUCAGCUAGUUGGUGAGGUAAUGGCUUACCAAGGCUACGACGGGUAGGGGAUCUGAGAGGAUGUCCCCCACACUGGAACUGAAACACGGUCCAGACGCCUACGGGUGGCAGCAGUGAGGAAUAUUGGACAAUGGGCGAAAGCCCGAUCCAGCAACGCCGCGUGGAGGAUGAAGGCCUUCGGGUCGUAAACUUCUUUAGAGGGAGACGAGAAAGGACGGUAUCCCUAGAAUAAGCGACGGCAAACUAACGUG
rnacentral:rRNA from 1 species